rnacentral:rRNA from 1 species
GUGGAUUAGAUACCCUAGUAGUCCACGCCGUAAACGAUGGAUACUAGCUGUUGGGAGUAAUCUCAGUGGCUAAGCGAAAGUGAUAAGUAUCCCACCUGGGGAGUACGUUCGCAAGAAUGAAACUCAAAGGAAUUGACGGGGGCCCGCACAAGCGGUGGAGCAUGUGGUUUAAUUCGAUGAUACGCGAGGAACCUUACCAAGGCUUAAAUGUAGAUUGACAGGACUGGAAACAGUUUUUUCUUCGGACAAUUUACAAGGUGCUGCACGGUCGUCGCCAGCU